UACGAAGGGGGCUAGCGUUGUUCGGAAUUACUGGGCGUAAAGCGCGAGCAGGCGGCUAUCCAAGUCAGUGGUGAAAGCCCGGAGCUCAACUCCGGAACUGCCAUUGAGACUGUUUAGCUUGAGGACGAGAGAGGUGAGUGGAAUUCCCAGUGUAGAGGUGAAAUUCGUAGAUAUUGGGAAGAACACCGGUGGCGAAGGCGGCUCACUGGCUCGUUUCUGACGCUCAGGCGCGACAGCGUGGGGAUCAAACAGG
rnacentral:rRNA from 1 species